UGUAAUAGGGCUUUCAUGGGUGGUAGCUCACCCCUCUUUUUGAGAAAGGGGGUGAUGCGAUGACAGUAUUCGAAACAUUGAUCCUGAUGAUCACGUUCGCAACCUUAGUUGUAGCUAUACUGUCAGAACAAAAAAAGUAACCACCCGAUGAAUGCCUAGCCGCAUUUUGGUUGGUUACUUUUCUGACCUAAAUAUGUGAGCUGCCCCCUUGAAGGGCUUUUGCGCACGAGACCGUUCAUGUUAGAGCAUGGACG
rnacentral:sRNA from 1 species